GCUACACAUGCAAGUCGAGCGCACUCUUCGGAGUGAGCGGCGGACGGGUUAGUAACGCGUGGGAAUAUACCCAGAUCUAAGGAAUAGCCACUGGAAACGGUGAGUAAUACCUUAUACGCCCUUCGGGGGAAAGAUUUAUCGGAUUUGGAUUAGCCCGCGUUAGAUUAGAUAGUUGGUGGGGUAAUGGCCUACCAAGUCUACGAUCUAUAGCUGGUUUUAGAGGAUGAUCAGCAACACUGGGACUGAGACACGGCCCAGACUCCUACGGGAGGCAGCAGUGGGGAAUCUUGGACAAUGGGCGCAAGCCUGAUCCAGCCAUGCCGCGUGAGUGAUGAAGGCCUUAGGGUCGUAAAGCUCUUUCGCCAGGGAUGAUAAUGACAGUACCUGGUAAAGAAACCCCGGCUAACUCCGUGCCAGCAGCCGCGGUAAUACGGAGGGGGUUAGCGUUGUUCGGAAUUACUGGGCGUAAAGCGUACGUAGGCGGGUUGUUAAGUUAGAGGUGAAAUCCCAGGGCUCAACCCUGGAACUGCCUUUAAUACUGGCAACCUAGAGUUCGAGAGAGGUGAGUGGAAUUCCGAGUGUAGAGGUGAAAUUCGUAGAUAUUUGGAGGAACACCAGUGGCGAAGGCGGCUCACUGGCUCGAUACUGACGCUGAGGUACGAAAGUGUGGGGAGCAAACAGGAUUAGAUACCCUGGUAGUCCACACCGUAAACGAUGAAUGCCAGUCGUCGGGUAGUAUACUAUUCGGUGACACACCUAACGGAUUAAGCAUUCCGCCUGGGGAGUACGGUCGCAAGAUUA
rnacentral:rRNA from 1 species